rnacentral:rRNA from 1 species
UACAGAGGGUGCGAGCGUUAUUCGGAAUUAUUGGGCGUAAAGCGUGCGUAGGCGGUUAUUUAAGUCGGGUGUGAAAGCCCCGGGCUCAACCCAGGAAGUGCACUCGAAACUGCGAGGCUAGAGUACUAGAGAGGUUGGUGGAAUUCUCGGUGUAGAGGUGAAAUUCGUAGAUAUCGAGAGGAACACCGGUGGCGAAGGCGGCCAACUGGACAGAUACUGACGCUGAGACUCGAAAGCGUGGGGAGCAAACAGG